AGGGUGUAAACGACUGCAGACUUGGUGUUGGAAGUCCUUUGGGGGCGAUUCAGUGCCGGAGAGAAGUUGUUAAGUCUGCUACUUGGGGAGUACGUCCGCAAGGAUGAAACUUAAAGGAAUUGGCGGGGGAGGCACCGCAACGGGAGGAGCGUGCGGUUUAAUUGGAUUCAACGCCGGAAAUCUUACCGGGACCGACAGCAACAUGAAGGCCAAGCUGAAGACUUUGCCGGAUUAGCUGAGAGGUGGUGCAUGGCGUAGUCGUGU
rnacentral:rRNA from 1 species